UGGCCCCUAGAUGGAAUGACCGUGUCGGCACGUGAGCGGUGAUGGAUUCGCAUGCCACGGCGGGCUCCCUGCCACUGUGCAGCCAACCGCCGUCGCUGCAGCCCCCUCACUCUUGCUCCAACCACUCGGAGCCUCCCGCGUUGCCUGUACAACAUACCCGGUUCUCGGGCAAAUGACUUCGUCCGACACGCUCGUCCGCUCCCCUCGCCUUUGUGCGGGCGCGGAGCGGCAACGUCGGCGGUCCUCGUGCUCCCUCGGACGACGGCACGGCUUUGGCCCCUCGUCUCGUCCCGAUCGGCCCUCGGGGAUUCGCCAGCGCUCGCGGACACGGUAGACAAUGUUGGCUCGGGGCCUUCGUAGCCCCCGCACCANGAUCGGUCGGCUCACUUCGCCGCCCUCGACGAGACGACCGUCGGGCCCGUCGUCCCCCACCACUCGCCUAACGGCGU
rnacentral:misc_RNA from 1 species